CCUACGGGUGGCAGCAGUGAGGAAUAUUGGUCAAUGGGCGGGAGCCUGAACCAGCCAAGCCGCGUGAGGGAAGCAGGUACAGCGUAUCGUAAACCUCUUUUGUCAGGGAACAAAGGCGGGGACUAGUCCCCGGAUGAGGGUACCUGAAGAAAAAGCAUCGGCUAACUCCGUGCCAGCAGCCACGGUAAUACGGAGGAUGCGAGCGUUAUCCGGAUUUAUUGGGUGUACAGGGAGCGUAGACGGUUAUGUAAGUCUGGAGUGAAAGCCCGGGGCCCAACCCCGGGACUGCGUUGGAUACUGUGUAACUGGAGUACAGGAGGGGAAGGCGGAAAUACUGGUGUAGCGGUGAAAUGCGGAGAUAUCAGGAGGAACACCGGCGGCGAAGGCGGCCUGCUGGACUGAAACUGACGUUGAGGCUCGAAAGCGUGGGGAGCAAACAGGAUUAGAUACCCGAGUAGUC
rnacentral:rRNA from 1 species